UACGAGGGGGGCGAGCGUUGUUCGGAAUUAUUGGCGUAAGGGUGCGUAGGCGGCCUGACAAGUCUGAUGUGAAAUCCCUGGGCUCAACCCAGGGCCUGCAUCGGAAACUGUCGGGCUUGAGUAUGGGAGAGGUGAGUGGAAUUUCCGGUGUAGCGGUGAAAUGCGUAGAUAUCGGAAGGAACACCUGUGGCGAAAGCGGCUCACUGGACCAUUACUGACGCUGAGGCACGAAAGCUAGGGGAGCAACAGG
rnacentral:rRNA from 1 species